UACAGGGAAAAAGAAGAGGUUCGUGCAAGAGCCUCGAGACUGCCCCCUCUCGUUCGGUGGAUUCUCCGCGUGGGGUUCUCGCCUUCGCCCAACCCGCCCUAAAGGUUUCGGUGAGCUCUUCCCUGAUCUCGGGAGUCCGAUUGGAUCGUGGGCUCAAUUUGGAUUUUGUUUUGACUUUGGAGAGGAAUGAUGGAUUUCUGCGUCUCCGAUCGAUUGUUUCAUGCAAUACGAGAGUGGGGGAAAUAGUCCUGGUUUUGUGGAGGUCUUUGGGGUUCUUAGAGCAGAGGAGUGAAGGGGAUAACUUAAAGAAUUUUUCUUUAGUCGGUAUCUGGGUAAAGGAGGGUGAAUGAUGAAGAAGAAUAAGUUGAACAAGGAGGAGAUAGCGGAGGACUACUGCUUCACAUGCAAGGAUGGAGGGCACCUGCGGGUCUGCGAUUUCAAGAAUUGUCUUAAAGCUUACCAUCCUCAAUGUGUGGGUAAGGAUCCCUCAUUCAUGGAGAGUGAUGAACGUUGGACCUGUGGUUGGCAUUCUUGCUUUAUCUGCCAAAAGGCAUCAGCUCUCCAAUGUUACUGCUGCCCGAACUCUGUGUGCUACUCAUGCAUAAAGGAAGCUGAGUUUGUGCAAGUCAAGAAAAGAACAAAGGGCUUCUGCAACAAUUGCUUAAAGCUAGCAAUUUUAAUAGAAGAGAAUAUAGAUGUUGAUUCAGAUGGGGGAAAGGUGGACUUCAGAGAUACUGAGACAUAUGAGUUUUUGUUCAAGGAUUAUUGGGAAAUAAUAAAGGAUCAGGAAGGACUGACAUUGAUUGAUCUUCAGGCAGCGAAUGCUCUUCUUAAAAGAGGUGAAAAUUACAAGGGUGGAUCAGAUUCUGACAAACUUGAGGAAGAGGAUGUCGAAUCUGAAGGUGAUGAUUUGGAAAUUAAUUCUGACGAUGGGUUGUCAUUUCUUGAGGAUUUGAAAGGGAGAUGUGGUAGAAUGAAGAAACCAAUUAAGAGGUCCAGGUCAAAGAAAAAAGUGUUUAUUAGUUGGGGUUCAGUGGAGCUGAUAAACUUCCUUAUAUCUGUUGGUAGAGACACAAAUGAACCACUUACACUGUUGGAUGCAUGUGAAAUAAUAAAGGACUACAUUGAUAGAAACAACCUUCAUGAUCCAGAUAAUAAAAAGAAAAAAAAUGUAAUAUGUGAUGAGAGACUGUAUGCUUUAUUCAGAAAAAGGAAAGUGAAGUUUCAUAAGAUAGAGAGUUUGUUGGAGAGUCACUUUGCCACAAAUGAUGAUUCAGAUGAAGAAAUUUCUUUUAGCUCAGAAGAUGGUGACACAUUUGGAAGACGAAAGAAGCAAAACACAGGAUAUGAUGAACAUAAAUUACAGCCAAAGGAAUAUAAGGAAGAUAUUUCUGCAGCACCUAAAAGUUGUUAUGCUUCCAUAGUUAGGAAAAACAUAAAUUCGGUGUACUUGAAGAGAUCUUUAAUUAUGGAAUUUCUUAAAAGUCCUGAUACUUUUGAAGAAAAAGUUACUGGCUGCUUUGUGAGGGUGAAGGUAGAUCCUGAAGAUUUCUACUUUGUUCCUGAAAAGAGGUACAAGCUAGGGCAGGUCACAGGUGUUAAGAAGGCUCUACAGACAUACAAGGUAGGCACAAUGUCCACAGAUGUGGUUCUACGUGUUUCCAAUUAUCAUGCGGAUGUUCAAUUAUUUUUUCUAUCCGAUGAUGACUUUGAUGAGGAUGAGUGUGAAGAUCUUCUCCAGUUGGCCAAUAAAGGCCUUUUCAAAAGACCCACUGUUGCAGAGCUUGAAAAGAAGAUCAGAAGUGUUCAUGCUGACAUAAUGAAUCAUUGGAUUGAUAAGGAAGUUUUGAAGUUACAAAAACUGAUAGAUCGAGCUAAUGAGAAAGGAUGGCGCAGAGAACUUUUUGCUUAUAUUGAUGAAAGAGAAAAGCUUCGUACAUCUGAAGAGCGAAAGCGCCUUCUUCAAGAGAUUCCAACAGUGGUUGCUGAUAUAUCUCAAACUAAGGUGAAGACUACCAAUGGUCCACCUAUUUCUUCAGAGUGCCAACUGCCAAAAGCUGCUGAUGUCAAUAAUUCUGGCAGUGGUCAUGUAAUUGAAAUCGAAGAAGACCAUGGAGUUCAAGAUUCUAAGAUAACUGUCAAUAUGCGAAUAAGCGACCACGUUGAUGAUGAAGACAAGACAUGGCAUUAUGUUGACCCUUCUGGCAAUGAACAAGGACCGUUUGACAUGGUAUCUCUAAGGUAUUGGAUGAGAGAAGGCUUUUUCGAUGAAGAUUUUAAGGUCUGGAAAACAGGCCAGUCAAGAGAAGAUGCCAUUUUGUUGACAGAUGCACUCCGUCUAUAUCAAUAGUAUCUCCAAAUUUCUCUAUGUGCAAUUUAUUAAAGGAAGGUGGAGACUCUGCUUGGCCCAAUUGUUUUAUAGAUUUCGACAUCUAUACCCAACGACAUUUGUGAAAGGCAGGUGGAGAUAGAAAGCUGCACAUGUGUUUAGACCAAUUUAUUAAAGGCACUUGUGUUUACUGAAAGAAGUAGAUUUUGCAGCUUGCAGCUGCUGUUGCUUUUGAGUCACUGCAGUAUGCAUAGGUCAUCCUUUUAGAUUGCAGUUCUUUCCAAGUCAUGAGUUAAUGGAUUAGCAGUCAGAAUUUGAAUUUAAAGAUUAAUCAGAAAAGCUCCAGUAAGAUGUGGAAGGCCAUCUGGUAGCAGAGGUGAUGAUGUUUACAAGAAUCUCACACGUGGAGUUAAGAUUUCUAACACAAAAUUUUCUCCAUUUCAAGUGUUUUCACUAGCAUAAUUUCCCAAGCGUUUCAGCACGAAAAUGAAGAUUGUCAUAAUUUUGACAGAAGAUGGAACGGUGUCUACUUUCUCAUCAUCAUUCUCUUGUUGAUUUGACUUGUGUCAAGUAAGAGCCUCUUCAUAUGAUUUUAUUGCUCAAAUAAUUUAUCUUGAUGCAUUUGGAUUUAUUUCUUCAGGCUACUGGUUAAAGAAAACAUGAUACUGCCAUAGUUUUCUUUUGGUAUUGUGCAGUAGUAAAUUUUUCUUAGUAACAGUUGAGAGACUUGAGUUCCAUCCCUGAUGUGCCAACUGCCAAUGUAGAUAAAUUGUUACCUAGGAUGAUGUAUCAGGAAAUCUUUGUUGCUACCUAAA